rnacentral:rRNA from 1 species
UACGUAUGGGGCAAGCGUUAUCCGGAUUUACUGGGUGUAAAGGGAGCGUAGGCGGCCUGGCAAGCCUGAUGUGAAAUACCAGGGCCCAACCCCGGGGCUGCAUUGGGAACUGCCAGGCUGGAGUGCCGGAGAGGCAGGCGGAAUUCCUAGUGUAGCGGUGAAAUGCGUAGAUAUUAGGAGGAACACCAGUGGCGAAGGCGGCCUGCUGGACGGUGACUGACGCUGAGGCUCGAAAGCGUGGGGAGCAAACAGG